AUGAGAGAUCCGAAGCUCCCCGCGCCGGCGACGGCCCGGAGAUCUCCGCCCGGCCUCGCCGGCACGCUCCGGAGGCACUCCGCGUGGCUGCUGCUCGUCUGGUUCGCGCUCUCCGUCUGCCUCUUCCUCUCCGCCGCCCCGCCGGCCGCCUCCCCGCUCCUCCGCCCCGCCGUCCUCCUCCGCAACACCAAGCCCCGCGCCCUCGCCACCGCCACCACGGCCGCGACAACCUCCAAGCCCCCCGUCCGGAUCUACGUCUACGACCUCCCCUCCCGCUUCAACCGCGACUGGGCCGCCGCCGACCCGCGGUGCGCGCGCCACCUCUUCGCGGCCGAGGUCACGCUGCACGACGCGCUGCUGUCCGGCCCCGCCGCCGCCCGCCCCGAGGACGCCGACCUCUUCUUCGUGCCCGUCUACGUCUCCUGCAACUUCUCCACGGCCAACGGGUUCCCGUCCCUCUCGCACGCGCGCGGGCUGCUGGCCGACGCCGUCGCGCUCGUCCGCCGGGAGAUGCCCUACUGGAACCGCUCCGCCGGCGCCGACCACGUCUUCGUCGCCUCCCACGACUUCGGCGCCUGCUUCCACCCCAUGGAGGAUGUGGCCAUCGCGGAUGGCAUACCGGAGUUCCUCAAGAGGUCAAUCCUGCUACAGACAUUCGGUGUGCACGGCCCUCACGUGUGCCAGGAGGCAGAGCAUGUGGUUAUCCCCCCACAUGUGCCCCCGGAGGUGGCCCUCGAGCUACCGGAGCCGGAGAAGGCGCGAAGGGACAUCUUUGCCUUCUUCCGGGGCAAGAUGGAGGUCCAUCCCAAGAAUAUCAGUGGCCGCUUCUACAGCAAGAAGGUGAGGACUGAGCUACUAAAACGGUAUGGUCGUAAUAGCAAGUUCUACCUUAAGAGGAAGCGAUACGAUGACUACCGAUCAGAGAUGGCUCGUUCUCUGUUCUGCCUCUGCCCGCUGGGCUGGGCACCAUGGAGCCCUCGGCUUGUGGAAUCAGUCCUGCUCGGCUGUGUUCCUGUCAUAAUUGCCGAUGAUAUACGCCUGCCAUUCCCUUCCGUCCUCCGGUGGCAAGACAUCUCAUUACAGGUGGCCGAGAAGGAUGUCGCCAGUCUUGAGACGGUGCUGGAUCAUGUUGUGGCAACGAACUUAAGUGUGAUACAGAAGAACUUGUGGGAUCCUGUGAAGCGGAAGGCGCUGGUGUUCAACCGGCCAUUGCAAGAGGGAGAUGCCACAUGGCAAGUGUUGAGGGAGCUUGAAGCGUUGCUAGACCGGUCUCAGAGAAGGAGAAGGAGUCAUGUCGGAUCAUCGAGGAGGUGA
rnacentral:rRNA from 1 species